UACGAAGGGGGCUAGCGUUGCUCGGAAUUACUGGGCGUAAAGCGUGCGCAGGCGGUGAUGUAAGACAGGUGUGAAAUCCCCCGGGCUUAACCUGGGAACUGCAUUUGUGACUGCAUGGCUGGAGUGCGGCAGAGGGGGAUGGAAUUCCGCGUGUAGCAGUGAAAUGCGUAGAUAUGCGGAGGAACACCGAUGGCGAAGGCAAUCCCCUGGGCCUGCACUGACGCUCAUGCACGAAAGCGUGGGGAGCAAACAGG
rnacentral:rRNA from 1 species